GCCCCUGGCGUGUGGAAGUUCCCAGGCCAAGGAUCAAACCCACACCACAGCAGCGAUUGUAGCCACAGCAGUGACAAUGCUGGAUCCUUAAUCAUUAGGCCCCCAGGGAACGCCUAGGCUGAUUAUGCUGAAGGCCCCAAAGACUCUGAGGACCCCUUGGGCUCUUUAACUGCCUGAAGAAUGUGGAUGGGAAGAAAGGAAAUGACCAGGACAGGGCACAUUGCACGCCGAGACGGCGGGAGGAACUGCAGGCUGGUCUGCUACCGUUCCUCUCUGAGCCCCGUUGUCUCUGCAGGACCCAGCGAACACUGGUUACGCGUUUGCUUUCCUGUCUCCAUGUGACCGCCUUCCAGCCUUUGAGGUCUCACAUCGCCACCCCAGCUGAAGAUGGCAUUUACAGGGAAAGUUUUGGCCAUUUUGGCGAGUUACUCAGUUUUCCUGGGUCUCUGCCAUGGAUAUGUUUUUAAACUUUUCUUUGAUUUUUGUUGUUGUUGUUGUUAAUCUAUCUCAGGUCAGUUUAAUUCUUAGACCAGCUAGAAGGACUUAGGAAGGGGUGAGGCCAUCUCUUCCUUCCCCCUCCCCUGCACACUCCCCCCUGCACAGACACACACAGACACACACACACACACACUAAAUCUGGCCAAAUAGCUCCCUCUUCUUCAAUACUUUUUGUUUUUUGUUUUUGCUUUUUAGGGCCGUAUCCAAGGCAUAUGGAACUUCCCAGACCAGGGGUCCAAUUGGCGCUGCAGCUACAGGUCUACACCACAGCCACAGCAACACCAGAUCUGAGUCUCAUCUGCAGCCUACACCACAGCUCACAGCAACGCCAGAUCCUCAACCCACUGAGUGAGGCCAGAGAUCGAACCCUCGUUCUCAUGGAUACGAGUCAGAUUCGUUUCCGCUGCGCCAUGAGGGAAACGCCCAAUACUUUUUUUUGAAAUAGAUUUUUUAAAUUGAAGUAUAGUUGAUUAGCAGUGUUGUGCUCUGCGGAACAGCAGAGUGACUCAGUUACAUACAUUCUUUUAAAAUUCCCUUCCAUCACGGUCUAGCCCGGGGACCGCGUAUCAAGUUCCCCGCGCUGCGCUGCAGGACCAUGUGGCUUCCCCAUUCUAAAGGGAAUGGUUUGCAUCUCCUGACCCCAAACGACCUUGAGUUCUUCUCUUUCUUUAUCCAGUCAACAUUCAUUUAAAUGUAAUUUUUAAAGUAUUUCUCUUGGGGACGGGGAGGGAAAUACAAAUAUCUCUUUUCCCAGGGCCCACCUCCCCUUCCAUGCCCCCUCCCCACUCAGAGGUGGAGCUGGGUUUGGCCUGGUGAGAACAUCAAAUCCUGGAUCGUCGAUUUUCUGACCUCAGAGGGCCCCUUGCAGGCACCAGCCUGUGAACUGCGCUGCAGCCUCCCCACGCCCGGCAGACACCUAUUAAUGCUCCGGAAGGGGAAAAAAAUAGAGAAUCGUGGGGGAAGUGUGGUGGGGAAAUAAAAGAAGCCCAGGGCGGGGUGGAAUGUGCUGCAAAUCCCUUUCCAAGUUAUAACCCCGAGCUGCCCUCCCGUCUCCAGCUUCUGCUUCUGCUCCAUGGCUGGGCGACACACCGGAGUGGCUCUGGGUCUCUGACGGGAAGGAAGAUUGCAAGAUGCCAGCCGAGGGCCAAGCAGGUGGAAAAUAAGUCGUGUUAUCUGUCUGGCGGUUGAUCUCGCCAGCCCUGGGCUCCACUGCCAGAGGUGAGUCGUCCACAGGGGCUCUGUGGUUUACGAGCUAACCAUCUCUUGUGGUGCCACCUCCCAACAGCACGCUUUUAGGUAAAAUAAUGUCCUUGUUGGUGUGUCUCGUUGCGGAUGUCAGUAGAAACAGAAGUGAAGGUUGGAAAUCCCCUGCCAGGUACCUGUGUUCCUGGUGCAGAACACGCAAGGAUGCUGGCAGUCGUGUUCAUGCGCCCGGGUGGUGUAUGGAGUGGGUCCUGGGGCACUGGGACAGAGGCUCACUUGUUCAUUCAGCAAGCGUUCUAUCAUAGUGUGGCUUCCUGGGGGAGCCGAUUCCCAAUAAGGGAUUUGAGAGCAAGUCCUUUAUUGGGGAGCUGAAGUGAGGAAGUAAAACAGAGAAUGAAGGAGGCCACUAAAGGGGGGGCCUGUGAAGUCAGCUGCCCCUGAGGGGGCGUCACCAUGCUGGGAAACUUCGGGAUCCAGUGCAGAACGCAUGGCUCAGAGUUACCCCACCCACGGGACUUCUGUCCUGCUGCCGGAGUAGGCAGAGCCGGCUUUGGUGGCUCAAGGAAAUACCCAGACAAAGGGGCACAGGUCCUGGUGGCUGGAGGUGGGACCAGCCUGGACUGAGGUGACGAGAACUAGAGGCUCUGGUGGGACAGUGACAGCAGCUGCUAUGUGUUCCUUGAGGAUGUCCUGUGUGCCAGGCACAGUCAUGGAAUGGGCACUGAGACGGAUUUUGUCUCUGUUUUCACGGCACUUGGAGCUGGUGGAGGAGACAAACCGGUAACCAGGCAGCGCCUCAAAGACGGGGAAUCAUGUGAUGGUGGAAGAGAGGAGCACAUCAGGGAAGGGCUCCGAAGCCACACCGUGUUAGGACCUGCACUUGUCCCAGCCGGGAGGAGCAGCAGGUGCAAAGGUCCUGAGGCACGGUCUCCGGGAUGAAUCGAAGUGUUCUGGGGCAAAGGGGACGUGGUCCUGAUGCAGGUAAAGGCCUACGUGGGAGGAUAGAAGGUGAUAAUGGAGAGAUGCACAGAUUGGGAGAUAGAGUGAUAGAUGGAUAGAUAGAGAUGGACGGAUGGCUGGAUAAACGGCCAGAGAGGUAAUAGAUAAAUGAGUGAGCUGGACAGAUGGGUGGAUGGAUGGAUGGAUGAUGGAGGGAGAGAGGAAUAUUCGACAAGGCCCAGAAGGGUCAGGAGGCGGAGGACUUUGGAUGUCGGGAUAAAUAGUGUGCUGGCGUCUGAGUGCAGAUCCACGCCUGAGGUUGAGGUGAGAAGUUUGGGGCAGAAGGCAGGUUGCAGAGAUGCAGAUAAAAGAGUCUAGGCUAAAGUGGGGACCACGGUAGGAGAGAAAGAAAUAAAUUUGAGACACCGCAGACCCCAGGCGGGACAGGCAGCAGUUGGGGAGAGCGUCUGGAGUGACGAGAAGGGCAGCAGAGGCAAAGUUCAGAGUCUGGGUUUCGGGAGGAAGAGGAGCCCUCGAAGCAGACGGCAAACCUCUGUCUGUCUGUCCACAGUCAGGUCAGAGCUCGGUGGCGGGACCGUUUCAGGUCCGCGAGGUCCCGAACGUGGGCCGAUCCUCAGCGGUGCUGGUGAGCGGGGGGAGGCGGGACAGACGCUGAAGAUUACGGCAAAGAGAAGCUCGGAGACUUGGGGUGGGUUUUGCUCAUCUGUGUCGCGGAGGCCUCGACCCCGAGAGCUGCCCCUGUUCCUGUCCCCAGUGGUGACAAGAGUGACAUCGCCUCCAUGAAACCUGUGCUGCCCCGCUUCAUUAAGAGGAGAGAGAGAGAGAGAGAUGGCCUUUCAGGUCAGGAUGUUACAGGGAUGAGAAAGGAGACAGUAAGAGAAAAACAGCCCCGCAGCGCACCAUUCAUCCCACUCUCUCUCUCCCUCAUCUCGCCCAACUGGUACCCGAACGUUGGGGAUAAGAAGUGUGGGCGCCGGCGGGUGGCACCUGUGGCAGGUCUUCUCCCUCCGCGACACAGGAAUCAGUACGGCCACGUGCUGGUCUCCCCGUAACCCCCGUUCUUUACUCUGGGGAGUCGGGGCUCCGCGCUGCUCGCGUUCCCAGGGCCGCAGCCAGACGCCUGGUGCAGUUGCUGCAGACUCAGAGGCAUCUCUCAGAAACCCGUGACCGAGGUCCUUCUGCUGUUACAUCCGAGGCUGAGGCCGCCCUUGCCCGGCGCGUCUCCCCUGGUCCCUUCGUCCUCCUGUGGAAGGCGCUGUUGACCAUCACCCGGAAUCCCGGCUCCCGGCCGCAGAGGAGUCGGGUCAGGCUUCGUUAGGACUCACACGCGUUCCUGCUUCAUCCGGUUCGUGGGAAGUUCCCCGAGCAUCUCAGGGCUGCAUGUGGGGCCAGACAGAUGGGGAACGGCCCAUCGGCCACCACGGCCCAUCCGCCUGUGACCCGUCCUAAGGAGCUUCAGUGUAGGGGCUGGGGACGUGGGAAGGGGUCAUGACGUGGCUCUAGGGCUCCCGAAACCAAGUGCCGUAGGUGUGGGCGGGGCGGGGGCGUGGCGCUCAAACACAGAAAUUUACCGUCUCCGCGGGCUGAGUCCAGAAUCAAGGCAGGUGUCAGGAGGAGGGGACACGGACCAGGAAGCGGGAGUAGGACACUGACAGGUGGAGAGAGGCCUCCAGACGGGGAGCAUCGUGAUACUAUGACCUCUUUAGAGAAAAAUAA
rnacentral:lncRNA from 1 species